UACGUAGGGUGCGAGCGUUGUCCGGAAUUACUGGGCGUAAAGAGCUCGUAGGUGGUUUGUCGCGUUGUCCGUGAAAACUCACAGCUCAACUGUGGGCGUGCGGGCGAUACGGGCAGACUGGAGUACUGCAGGGGAGACUGGGAUUCCUGGUGUAGCGGUGGAAUGCGCAGAUAUCAGGAGGAACACCGGUGGCGAAGGCGGGUCUCUGGGCAGUAACUGACGCUGAGGAGCGAAAGCGUGGGGAGCGAACAGG
rnacentral:rRNA from 1 species